rnacentral:rRNA from 1 species
AUGAUGUGUAGCCGGGCUGAGAGGUUGAACGGCCACAUUGGGACUGAGACACGGCCCAAACUCCUACGGGAGGCAGCAGUAGGGAAUUUUCGGCAAUGGAGGAAACUCUGACCGAGCAACGCCGCGUGAACGAUGAAGUAUUUCGGUACGUAAAGUUCUUUUAUUAGGGAAGAAUAAAUGAUGGAAAAAUCAUUCUGACGGUACCUAAUGAAUAAGCCCCGGCUAACUAUGUGCCAGCAGCCGCGGUAAUACAUAGGGGGCAAGCGUUAUCCGGAAUUAUUGGGCGUAAAGGGUGCGUAGGCGGUUAAAUAAGUUUAUGGUCUAAGUGCAAUGCUCAACAUUGUGAUGCUAUAAAAACUGUUUAGCUAGAGUAAGAUAGAGGCAAGUGGAAUUCCAUGUGUAGUGGUAAAAUGCGUAAAUAUAUGGAGGAACACCAGUAGCGAACGAAGGCGGCUUGCUGGGUCUUUACUGACGCUGAGGCACGAAAGCGUGGGGAGCAAACAGGAUUAGAUACCCUGGUAGUCCACGCCGUAACGAUGAGUACUAAACGUUGGGUAAAACCAGUGUUGAAGUUAACACAUUAAGUACUCCGCCUGAGUAGUACGUACCAAGUAUGAAACUUAAAGGAAUUGACGGGACUCCGCACAAGCGGUGGAUCAUGUUGUUUAAUUCGAAGGUACCCGAAAAACCUCACCAGGUCUUGACAUGCUUCUGCAAAGCUGUAGAAACACAGUGGAGGUUAUCAGUUGCACAGGUGGUGCAUGGUUGUCGUCAGCUCGUGUCGUGAGAUGUUGGGUUAAGUCCCGCAACGAGCGCAACCCUUAUUGUUAGUUACCAGCACGUAAUGGUGGGGACUUUAGCAAGACUGCCAGUGAUAAAUUGGAGGAAGGUGGGGACGACGUCAAAUCAUCAUGCCCCUUAUGAC